AUGCUUACCUUGUUUCUGGCUUCUGGCGAUCAUCAAGGUCAGCGCCCUGUUCCGAGGCUUGAUCAUUGCACUGUGGUUAGCUGAAGCAGGCCACUACCCCGAACAGGGGUAGCUGGGGCGUAUAAUUUUAAGUACGAAGCACUUUAGGGGCCCGGGCU
rnacentral:snRNA from 1 species